rnacentral:rRNA from 1 species
UACGUGAAACUGUUCAGGGGUAAACCUGAGRAACCCGAAAGAUCGAAUGAGGAGAUUCAUCGUCCAGCUGGGCCAGGCUUUUUCUUUCGGGGAAAAGACCUCGGUUCGGUCGGCGUGCACUUCUCCUCUAGUAGAACGUCGCGACCCGCUGGUGUACGGUCAUAAGGUACCUCGUCGCAGACUGUGUCGCUCGCGCUUCUCUUACGAGGAGCCGGGUCGUGCCAGAGACUUGGAUUCAAUACCCGAUCGUAGGGCCGGCGGUAGUUGAACGGACGGUAUUGGGCCGCGCGCGCGUACUUUCGAGUCGCGCGCGCGCGUUUCCUUGCACGAAACUGUUUCCGACAUCCUGUCGAAUUGGGUACGCUCGCGUCCCGUCCGAUGUCGGGGCUUUUUUUGUGUCUCGCGAAACAGGCUCUCUACCCGUCAGCGACGCUAUUGCUUUGGGUAAUUUCAGGACCCGUCUUGAAACACGGACCAAGGAGUCUAACAUGUACGCGAGUCAUUGGGCUUGAAACUAAACCCACAGGCGUAUUGAAAGAAAAGACCGGCCCUCGUGCCGGUCGAGGGAUGAUGGGCACGCGUUUCGAAGCGGCCUCGCAAUCCCGGGGCGUCUCGCGUCUCAUUACGAGCGGAGGCGCACCUAGAGCGUACAUGUUGGGACCCGAAAGAUGGUGAACUAUGCCUGGUCAGGACGAAGUCAGGGGAAAGCCCUGAUGGAGGUCCGUAGCGAUUCUGACGUGCAAAUCGAUCGUCGGAACUGGGUAUAGGGGCGAAAGACUAAUCGAACCAUC